UGCUUCUUGCACAUAAUAAGAAGUAAUCUCCUGCCCAGUGAAUAAUAUUUUAACGGCCGCGGUAUCCUAACCGUGCAAAGGUAGCAUAAUAAUUUGUCCAUUAAUUGUGGACUAGAAUGAAAGGGGUAACGAAAUAAGAACUGUCUCAAUAAAACAAAUAUAAACUAAUAUCCAAGUGAAGAAGCUUAGAUACUAUUAAAGGACAAGAAGACCCUAUAGAGCUUUAUCUUUUUAUGUUCAAACAAACAAAGAUUCGGUUGGGGCGACCAUGGAUAAUUCAUCCAUAAUUUUUAAGAUUAACAAAUCAAUCAAUAGAUCCUUUUAAGAUCAUAGAAUCAAGCUACCUUAGGGAUAACAGGCUAAUCCUAUUAAAGAGCUCUUAUCGACAAUAGGGAUUGGCACCUCGAUGUUGGCUUAGAAUAUCUUUAAGGCGCAGAAGUCUUAUAAAGAGGGUUUGUUCAACCCGUAAUAUUC
rnacentral:rRNA from 1 species